GACGAACGCUGGCGGCGUGCCUAACACAUGCAAGUCGAGCGGGACCAGGGGCAACUCUGGUUCAGUGGCGGACGGGUGCGUAACACGUGAGGAACAUGACCUUCGGCGGGGGAGUAGCCGGCCCAACGGCCGGGUAAGUACCGCGUACGACCACAUGGGGACGAUCCCUCGAGUGGUGAAAGCAGCAAUGCGCCGAUGAGUGCCUCGCGGCCUAUCAGCUAGUUGGUGAGGAAC
rnacentral:rRNA from 1 species